AACGAACGCUGGCGGCAUGCCUAACACAUGCAAGUCGAACGAGACCUUCGGGUCUAGUGGCGCACGGGUGCGUAACGCGUGGGAACCUGCCUUUAGGUUCGGAAUAACUCAGAGAAAUUUGAGCUGAUACCGGAUGAUGUCUUCGGACCAAAGAUUUAUCGCCUUUAGAUGGGCCCGCGUUGGAUUAGCUAGUUGGUGGGGUAAAGGCCUACCAAGGCGACGAUCCAUAGCUGGUCUGAGAGGAUGAUCAGCCACACUGGGACUGAGACACGGCCCAGACUCCUACGGGAGGCAGCAGUGGGGAAUAUUGGACAAUGGGCGAAAGCCUGAUCCAGCAAUGCCGCGUGAGUGAUGAAGGCCUUAGGGUUGUAAAGCUCUUUUACCCGAGAUGAUAAUGACAGUAUCGGGAGAAUAAGCUCCGGCUAACUCCGU
rnacentral:rRNA from 1 species